rnacentral:rRNA from 1 species
GACGAACGCUGGCGGCGUGCUUAACACAUGCAAGUCGAGCGGAAAGGCCCUUCGGGGUACUCGAGCGGCGAACGGGUGAGUAACACGUGAGUAACCUGCCCUUGGCUCUGGGAUAAGCCCGGGAAACUGGGUCUAAUACCGGAUAUGACCAUCAGAUGCAUGUCUUGGUGGUGGAAAGAUUUUUCGGCUGGGGAUGGGCUCGCGGUCUAUCAGCUUGUUGGUGGGGUGANGGCCUACCAAGGCGACGACGGGUAGCCGGCCUGAGAGGGUGACCGGCCACACUGGGACUGAGACACGGCCCAGACUCCUACGGGAGGCAGCAGUGGGGAAUAUUGCGCAAUGGGCGGAAGCCUGACGCAGCGACGCCGCGUGGAGGAUGAAGGUCUUCGGGUUGUAAACUCCUGUCAUUUGAGAACAAGGUGCACCGGUUAACUGCCGGUGCAUUGAUAGUAUCAGAAGAGGAAGAGACGGCUAACUCUGUGCCAG